GGAGGAUGUGUUGGUUGUUAUCGUGGGUGAUCGAGGUGGGAGGAUGGUUAUCACGCACCAAAUACGCCACUACCGACAACAACAACAACAACUCCCUCACCACCACCGCCAACCCCACCCAAACCCCUGCUCUCUUCCUCUUCUCUGCCCUUCCCCUCCUUUCACAAUACCUAUCCCUAACCGCCAC
rnacentral:ribozyme from 1 species